CCAGCUCCAAUAGCGUAUAUUAAAGUUGUUGCGGUUAAAAAGCUCGUAGUUGGAUCUGUGUCCCGCGCCGUCGGUUCACCGCCUGUCGGUGUUAAACUGGCGUGUAUGCGGGACGUCCUGUCGGUGGCGGAACGGRGCUUCGUCAAACCGUAGGGGUUGUCCAGGUUCGCUUGCGACUCCCUGAAGGCUGGCGUAUGUUUCCGGCCGCCUUGUCAAUCCCGCCGCGGUGCUCUUCACCGAGUGUCGAGGCGGGCCGGCACGUUUACUUUGAACAAAUUAGAGUGCUUUAAGCAGGCUCUUUUCUGCCUGUAUAUUGUGUGCAUGGAAUAAUGGAAUAGGACCUCGGUUCUAUUUUGUUGGUUUCCGGAAUCUGAGGUAAUGAUCAAUGGGGACAGGCGGGGGCAUUCGUAUUGCGACGUUAGAGGUGAAAUUCUUGGAUCGUCGCAAGACGGACCGAAGCGAAAGCAUUUGCCAAGUAUGUUCUCGUCGAUCAAGAACGAAAGUUAGAGGUUCGAAGGCGAUCAGAUACCGCCCUAGUUCUAACCAUAAACUAUGCCUGCCAGCGAUCCGCCGGCGUUCCUCCGAUGACCCGGCGGGCAGCUUCCGGGAAACCAGAGCUUUUGGGUUCCGGGGGAAGUAUGGUUGCAAAGCUGAAACUUAAAGGAAUUGACGGAAGGGCACCACCAGGAGUGGAGCCUGCGGCUUAAUUUGACUCAACACGGGAAAACUCACCAGGCCCGGACACCGGAAGGAUUGACAGAUUGAGAGCUCUUUCUUGAUUCGGUGGGUGGUGGUGCAUGGCCGUUCUUAGUUGGUGGAGCGAUUUGUCUGGUUAAUUCCGAUAACGAACGAGACUCUAGCCUACUAACUAGACGUUUCCGGUAUCCACAAUCGUGCUACCGGCGAGUAUAUUUCUUCUUAGAGGGACAGGCGGCUUCUAGCCGCACGAGACUGAGCAAUAACAGGUCUGUGAUGCCCUUAGAUGUCCUGGGCCGCACGCGCGCUACACUGAAGGAAUCAGCGUGUCUUCCCUGUCCGAAAGGACCGGGUAACCCGCUGAACCUCCUUCGUGCUAGGGAUUGGGGCUUGCAAUUGUUCCCCAUGAACGAGGAAUUCCCAGUAAGCGCGAGUCAUAAGCUCGCGUUGAUUACGUCCCUGCCCUUUGUACACACCGCCCGUCGCUACUACCGAUUGAAUGAUUUAGUGAGGUCUUCGGACUGGUGCGCGGAGGUAGCCUCGGCUGCUUCCGAUGUUGUCGGAAAGAUGACCAAACUUGAUCAUUAGA
rnacentral:rRNA from 1 species